rnacentral:rRNA from 1 species
GUAGGGAAUAUUGGGCAAUGGAUGCAAGUCUGACCCAGCCAUCCCGCGUGCCGGAAGAAGGCCCUCAGGGUUGUAAACGGCUUUUGACGGUGAAGAAUCGACAGGAUGCGUCCUGUUUUGACGGUAGCCGUUGAAUAAGCACCGGCUAACUCCGUGCCAGCAGCCGCGGUAAUACGGAGGGUGCGAGCGUUGUCCGGAUUUAUUGGGUUUAAAGGGUGCGUAGACUGGAAGGUCAGUCAGCGGUGAAAAGCUGUCGCUUAACGAUAGUCUUGCCGCAGAUACUUCCUUUCUUGGAUGAGGAGGAGGCCACUGGAACGGAUGGUGUAGCGGUGAAAUGCAUAGAUAUCAUCCAGAACACCGAUUGCGAAGGCAGGUGGCUGUACCUUAAUCGACGCUGAUGCACGAAAGCAUGGGGAGCAAACAGGAUUAGAUACCCGGGUAGUCC